AUUUAACGCUGGCGGCAGGCCUAACACAUGCAAGUCGAACGAGUGGCGGACGGGUGAGUAAUGUCUGGGAAACUGCCUGAUGGAGGGGGAUAACUACUGGAAACGGUAGCUAAUACCGCAUACCAUCAGAUGUGCCCCGAUGGGAUUAGCUAGUUGGUGGGGUAACGGCUCACCAAGGCGACUAUCCCUCGCUGGGCUGAGAGGAUGACCAGCCACACGGGAACUGAAACCCGGUCCAGAAUCCUACGGGAGGCAGCAGUGGGGAAUAGUGCACAAGGGGCGAAAGCCUGAUGAAGCCAUGCCGCGUGUAUGAAGAAGGCCUUCGGGUUGUAAAGUACUUUCAGCGGGGAGGCGUUACCCGCAGAAGAAGCACCGGCUAACUCCGUGCCAGCAGCCGCGGUAAUAC
rnacentral:rRNA from 1 species